rnacentral:rRNA from 1 species
GACGAACGCUGGCGGCGUGCCUAAUACAUGCAAGUAGAACGCACAGUUUAUACCGUAGCUUGCUACACCAUAGACUGUGAGUUGCGAACGGGUGAGUAACGCGUAGGUAACCUGCCUGGUAGCGGGGGAUAACUAUUGGAAACGAUAGCUAAUACCGCAUAAUAUUAAUUAUUGCAUGAUAAUUAAUUGAAAGGUGCAAUUGCACCACUACCAGAUGGACCUGCGUUGUAUUAGCUAGUAGGGGAGGUAACGGCUCACCUAGGCGACGAUACAUAGCCGACCUGAGAGGGUGAUCGGCCACACUGGGACUGAGACACGGCCCAGACUCCUACGGGAGGCAGCAGUAGGGAAUCUUCGGCAAUAGACGAAAGUCUGACCGAGCAACGCCGCGUGAGUGAAGAAGGUUUUCGGAUCGUAAAGCUCUGUUGUAAGAGAAGAACGGGUGUGAGAGUGGAAAGUUCACACUGUGACGGUAUCUUACCAGAAAGGGACGGCUAACUACGUG